rnacentral:rRNA from 1 species
AGGGCACCACCAGGAGUGGAGCCUGCGGCUUAAUUUGACUCAACACGGGAAAUCUCACCAGGCCCGGACACCGGAAGGAUUGACAGAUUGAGAGCUCUUUCUUGAUUCGGUGGGUGGUGGUGCAUGGCCGUCCUUAGUUGGUGGAGCGAUUUGUCUGGUUAAUUCCGAUAACGAACGAGACUCUGGCCUACUAACUAGACGUUAGAUCCCUUUGUGGGUCUAUCGCAGCUUCUUAGAGGGACGGGCGGCGUUUAGCCGCACGAGAUUGAGCAAUAACAGGUCUGUGAUGCCCUUAGAUGUUCUGGGCUGCACGCGCGCUACACUGAAGGAAUCAGCGUGUGUUCCCUGUCCGAAAGGACUGGGAAACCCGUUGAACCUCCUUCGUGAUGGGGAUUGGGGAUUGCAAUUAUUCCCCAUGAACGAGGAAUUCCCAGUAGGCGCGAGUCAUAAGCUUGCGUCGAUUACGUUCCUGCCCUUUGUACACACCGCCCGUCGCUACUACCGAUCGAGUGAUUUAG